CCCUUCGCAAGCUGAGUCACUGGACUUUCGAUAAUACAGGAUUAGACCAUUUAGCUGAAGCAACUCAAGUCUGUAAAUAUGCAUGGGUUUCUGGAGCCUUUGGCAAUGCCUUAUAUGGAUUUCCUGAAUCAUCAGCAGAACACAGAGAGUCUGGCUCUCCCCACCACCCUGCUGCUGGUGUGUAGCUGUAUCAGAGACAUUGCCUGGGAAGACCACGUGGGACCAGCUGUGUCUGAAACUCUGCUGAUUCUCAGUGCAGAAAUGGAUAGCCGAAGAACUGCUUUCAAGCUACACAGCAGGAUAAAGGUAUUUAUCACUAUGAACGUCCCUCUUAGAACUGAUUUUGCUGCAUCUCAUAAGUUUUGAGGUAACCUGAUUCUUCUGCUUGAGUGGCUUCACGAAGCAGCGAACACUUUUCCUGUCCAUUGUUGAACCCCUCAUGCCUAACCCAGUGCCUAGAACACAGGCUCGUCAUAGAUGUGUGGAAUGAAUGGAUGACAGAAAACAACGAAGAGCCAGUUGUCGGUGGAGGAUCCCAAAGGAGCAGUUCCGCCUUCAUGUUGAAGACUUUCUUUGCCCUGCAUGUUGUAACCACAUAAAGCUAGCUGGGAGCCACGUGGCUGCCCUCAUUGUUGCUCCUUGGCAAUGUUCUCUCUGUGCCAGGCAUCAAACAUGAGCCCCUCAGUGGGAUCCCUGCCCUGUGUGCGCCCCAAUACCUGGACACUUCCUGGAUGCUCCAAGAGGAUGGAGAUUUGCCCCUCCCGACUUUCCCAUGAUUAAUGUUUGUCCGUAGCCUUGUCACAACCAACCUUGGGAGUGUUGCUGGGUUCUGGUGGGGGUCCCUCCUGAGAGAGGCCUUUCUAUUCUGUGAGGUGAAUUGAAGGCUGUCAAACCUUUCGCUCAAACUGGUCUCAUCUGCAUCAAGUCGUAAAGAAAUUCCUUGAAAUGUCUGGUAUGUGGGUGGAAUCCUUUUUCAGUUUUGAAGAAUGACAGAUUUUCCCCUAUCAUUAUUUUCCUUUGGCUGUGUCAAUGGGAGUUUGGAAGAGAGACAGGAUGGGAAGUUCAAUGUGAGGAUUUGAAUGCCUGUCACAGAAUAGAAGUCUGUCCUUGUACUUUUCCUAGUCUCUUUAGACAAAGUCCCCUCCACCUUAUAGCCCUAUGUAUGUAUAGCCCUAUGUAUGUAUGUAUGUAUAACUGCCCCCUUCUCAUCACCAAGCCCUCCCGUUUGGAGAUACAAGAACAGUUUCUCUUCUAUCAGCUCCCUGCUCCCUUCCUGGGCUCCCUAUUAAACAUAUUUUGGAUAUCCUGGCUUUGUUUUUCUCUGUCUCAUAUCUUAUGUCUCAUAAUUUUUUUUCCUUUUCCUCUGAGCUUGGGGAGAAUUUCUUUCAUCUCCAAGUCUUAGAGACUCUGACCAGUCUUUGUAGCUGCUUAGAUCACCAGUGGAACCAUCAACCUUCAAACUUUUACUGGGCUUUACACCCAUCCUGUGAUCUCUCUCAGGAAGGAAGGAGUCAAGCUUAAUACACAAUAUCAACAUGCAUUCCCAAGGCAGACCUGAGAGCUGGGGGAUGGAAGAUGUUAAGCAGACGGUCAGACCGUCUUUGGACAACACUGUCCGUGAAAAUUACCCAGGUAGCUGAGGACAAAGAAAAUGCCUCUAUGGCUUCUUGCCCCACCCAUUAUGCUGGUGAUGAAAACCAUGAAAAUGGAUUCAGCAUAAGGUUUCCUAUUUUUCUUUGGCUAGAGAUAAGGAAUACACUAAUAGCUGAGGCCUCAGCGGGGGCGGAUCCUUGGACAAUACCUUACUUUGGAUUAAAUUUCUUUUCCUAAAUCCCUUAACACAUUAAAAUCUCCUCACUCUGCCUAAACACAGUUCUCCAGAGCCCUUUAUAAAACCUCUCUCUCUUUCUCUCUCACACACAGAUGACAUCUGACCUUUGCCAUCCUACUGUGCCAGGCACCCUUUACUAUUUUCCCUUUGGGUCCCCGUCUGCCAGUGCCACUGAGGAAGGCCCUGCAGCCACCUGAAGUCAACUCUGGUCAUUGCUCUCCAAG
rnacentral:lncRNA from 1 species